AUGACCUCACUUACCAUGCUUGUAUGUUGGGUUAUCUGGAAUGAGAGAAAUGUUAGAGUCUUUCGAAAGAAAUCGACGCCGCCAUACUACAUUCUAAUUAAAACUCAUCCAGCAGGAGUCCAGGACGUGGCUCAGGCGGGGACUAGGCAUAUGAGCAUCAUCAUGCCGCGAGAAUAA
rnacentral:rRNA from 1 species